rnacentral:lncRNA from 1 species
CGUGCUUGCAUUUCCUAUCAUGAUUUUCUUGAUAGAGGUUUGCUGCUCACAAGGAAGCUAUUAAACCAAGAGUUCCAAAUGGUGAAGUUGAAAUCAUCACUUCGUAAAUUGUACGGACGCCAUCACGAGUUGGUUGACCGUUAUGGAAUAACCGUUUCACAAAUGAUCUCGGAUAUGUUCCUUACGUCGUAACUACAAUCCCCUUCCCUUUCAUGAAUAUGACCUACCGAAUUAGACUAUUUACCGGAUUUGUAAUCACAUAAGCAACACGACGGGUGCCACAUGUGGAGCAGGAUCUGCUUACCCUUCCGGAGCACCUGAGAUCACCCCUAGUUUUUGGUGGGGUUCGUGUUGUUUAUUCUUUAGUUUUCUAUGUUGUGUCGUGUGUACUAUUGUUUUUCUGUUUGUCUUUUUCAUUUUUAG